rnacentral:rRNA from 1 species
GACGAACGCUGGCGGCGUGCUUAACACAUGCAAGUCGAACGGAAAGGCCCUGCUCUUGUGGGGUGCUCGAGUGGCGAACGGGUGAGUAACACGUGAGUAACCUGCCCUUGACUUUGGGAUAACUUCAGGAAACUGGGGCUAAUACCGGAUAGGAGCUCCUACUGCAUGGUGGGGGUUGGAAAGCUUCGGCGGUUGGGGAUGGACUCGCGGCUUAUCAGCUUGUUGGUGGGGUAGUGGCUUACCAAGGCUUUGACGGGUAGCCGGCCUGAGAGGGUGACCGGCCACAUUGGGACUGAGAUACGGCCCAGACUCCUACGGGAGGCAGCAGUGGGGAAUAUUGCACAAUGGGCGGAAGCCUGAUGCAGCAACGCCGCGUGCGGGAUGACGGCCUUCGGGUUGUAAACCGCUUUCGCCUGUGACGAAGCGUGAGUGACGGUAAUGGGUAAAGAAGCACCGGCUAACUACGUG